UACGUAGGGUGCGAGCGUUGUCCGGAAUUAUUGGGCGUAAAGAGCUCGUAGGCGGCUUGUCGCGUCGGAUGUGAAAGCCCGGGGCUUAACUCCGGGUCUGCAUUCGAUACGGGCAGGCUAGAGUGUGGUAGGGGAGAUCGGAAUUCCUGGUGUAGCGGUGAAAUGCGCAGAUAUCAGGAGGAACACCGGUGGCGAAGGCGGAUCUCUGGGCCAUUACUGACGCUGAGGAGCGAAAGCGUGGGGAGCAAACAGG
rnacentral:rRNA from 1 species